AUAUUACUAAUAGAAAACUAGUAUAAUAUCUUAAUCUUCACCCCUUUCCUUUUUAUUUCACAGAAUAUCAUGACCCUAAGGAAGCCUUGCACAUUAGUUCCUCACCUUGUUCAUUCAGCAGGAUGACUGGUUUCAUCUGUAAGAUCUCAUACUGCAUAUCAGAUGUGGGUGAUUCCAGAGGGCCUCUGCACAGGAAACCUUUCCCACCAUGGACCCCAAAGGUUCCUGUCACAGCUGUAGGGAGCGUCUGGGGAUACCUGCUACAUAAAGACACCUGCUCAUUUGCCUAAAAGGACUCCAAGUUGGAAGAAUUAUUCAAAAUUAACUCCGGUGUUAAUGCAUGUUGAAAGAGGACUAACAUAUACAUGUCAGCUUGUCUCAGAGUUCAGCUGAGCUAAAUUAAGAAAAUAAUUAACUGGUUAAAUUAUAUUUGACAUGUUCAGAAACUGAAGAGUUUUCUAUUUAGGCUUUAAAAUGCCCUUGAAUAGGACCCUAUGAAUAGUCAGGAUUUUGCACAUAGUCUCCAACAUGUAUGAUGGUUUAAAUGAAUUACAGGGCACAUAAAAUGCCUCAUUUAAUUUGAUUAGAGGAUUUAGUAAACAACAAAUGAAGUACUUGUUGUUAUGCAGUGGCUCCUUAGAAUAAUGCUGUACUACAUAAUAAAAAUAUUCCUUGUUAUUUUUAUGGACCAUAGGGCACUUUCAGUAAACUAUGAAUAGGAAGAUAGUCAACCAGUUGAAAAUUCUUUUACAAGAUGAAUUGUAUGUACUUGUAGUCAGCAAUAUAGACCUGAAAAAUCAUUUUUAUAGGAGUGAAAUUUUGUCAUAUCAUCAUAUAGCUCAUUUUCCAAUAUGUUAAAAUAAUAUAGGCUCUGGGUAUUAUCCCAAAUUUACUAUUUAUGUUUAUCAUCUUACCC
rnacentral:lncRNA from 1 species